rnacentral:rRNA from 1 species
GUACACACCGCCCGUCACACCAUGAGAGUCGAUAACACCCGAAGCCUGUAGUCUAACCAUAAGGAGGACGCAGUCGAAGGUGGGAUUGAUAAUUAGGGUGAAGUCGUAACAAGGUACC